CUGAAAAUGGCCUUUCAGAGCUGUCCCGAUUUGGGACAAGAAGCCCUCGCUCUCUGCAACAGAAGCCAAGCCCCAAGGGCAUGAGGGCAUUUCCAGCAUCCAGAGAAGACCUGUUGACUCCUGACAUGGAUCUAGAGGCAAACACAUGGUUCCUGGACACCUCUGCCCCAUCCCUGAGCCUCAGGCCCGAGUUCAAACAUGAGCUGCAGAUCAGAGAGGAAGCAGGGAUGCUUCAGUACCUGGACCCACGCUCUCCUGCAAAAAUGAAUGAAAAUAAUGGCUCACAGUCAUCAAACGCCAAUCUCUACAAAAAUACUUUGACACGUUACCAUUGCUCUCCUCAAUUUAAAACCUGGGAAACUAAGGCGAAAGCAGCAAAAACGCCUAUAUAUCCUGGCUCCUCCCUUACUUCUUUGGAACAGUUCCUCAGAGCUAUCCGAGAGGUGCCUUCCCGGGCUAGAGUGCUCAGUAAGGUUCCACAUAAAACAUAAUUCUCAACUUUUAGGUUGUGCAUUUUUCUCCAGUCGACACAGUGCUGCUGCUAAGAGACCGUCACAAUUCGAAUCCUGGCUCCUCUACUUCCUAGCUGUGCAACUUCGGAUAAGUUGCCUAACCUCUCUGUACCUUCACUUCUUCACUGUAAAAUAGGCUGUGAUCAUUUUGACUUCAUUGCAUUGCGAUAGGAUUAAAUGAGUUAAUAUAGGCAACACACAUAUAACAUGAUGGAACGGAAUGGAAUGGAAUGGAAUAGAAUAGGAUAGAAUCGAAGAGUCCUAUACACAAGUAAACUAAGGUUCUAGCUCUGGUUCCUUCCAACUUUCUCAGCCCUUUUCUCUUACUGAAGCUCAAACAGCCCCAUCUUGAUGCCAUUUGUCAUUUGAUACUUAGGCACUGCCUUUCCCAGACCACCUGCCAUCACAGGGGCCACUGGUUUUAAAAGCCAGGUCCUGGCCUCUCCCCACACCUGCUCAUUAGCGCUCGCUGGGGAUAAGGUCUGACACCGCCCACGUUUUUAACCAGCUCCCUGACGUGAUUCAUACACACACUGGAGUUUUGACAAGCCCAGCCUCAAAGGUGGCUGGGGACAAUUUAACAUUUAUAUGCAUCCCGAAUGGGGUGGCUUCUGUUGCCUGGCAACCAGGUGAAAAAAUCCAAGUUUACACCAAAACAGAACCUUCCCAACCACAAAUCAAAAAGGAGAAGGGGAUGGAAAACAAGUAGGGGAGGAGGGAAAAAGGAUUUCUGAAUCACUGCAGAUCAUUACAGAAUAUGGGCUUUGCAGUCAGUUAAAUAGUAAAAAUGUACUUCUUAUUUUUUUCAUUGUACCCUUGGCAAAAUCGCCAAGGAAGCAAAAACAGGGAAAGUAUUUACAAUCGAUAUAGAGCUUAACCCACAUCAGUAAAAGGAAAUCACUUUCGCAAUAGCCUCUUGAG